rnacentral:rRNA from 1 species
UACGUAGGGGGCGAGCGUUGUCCGGAUUUAUUGGGCGUAAAGAGCUCGUAGGUGGCUGUUCAAGUCGGGUGUGAAAUCCCAAGGCUCAACCUUGGGUCUGCAUUCGAUACUGGGUGGCUUGAGUCUGGUAGGGGGACCUGGAAUUCCUGGUGUAGCGGUGGAAUGCGCAGAUAUCAGGAGGAACACCGGUGGCGAAGGCGGCUCUCUGGGACGGUACUGACGCUGAGACGCGAAAGCGUGGGGAGCGAACAGG